rnacentral:rRNA from 1 species
UACGGAGGACUCAAGCGUUAUCCGGAUUUAUUGGGUUUAAAGGGUGCGUAGGCGGCCCGGUAAGUUAGAGGUGAAAUCUCGACGCUCAACGUCGAAACUGCCUCUGAUACUGUCGGGCUAGAGUGUGGUUGCGGAAGGCGGAAUGUGUGGUGUAGCGGUGAAAUGCUUAGAGAUCACACAGAACACCGAUUGCGAAGGCAGCUUUCCAAGCCAUUACUGACGCUGAGGCACGAAAGCGUGGGGAGCGAACAGG